rnacentral:rRNA from 1 species
CAGUAGCCGCGGUAAUACAGAGGGUGCGAGCGUUAAUCGGAUUUACUGGGCGUAAAGCGUGCGUAGGCGGCUUCUUAAGUCGGAUGUGAAAUCCCUGAGCUUAACUUAGGAAUUGCAUUCGAUACUGGGAAGCUAGAGUAUAAGAGAGGAUGGUAGAAUUCCAGGUGUAGCGGUGAAAUGCGUAGAGAUCUGGAGGAAUACCGAUGGCGAAGGCAGCCAUCUGGCCUAAUACUGACGCUGAGGUACGAAAGCAUGGGGAGCAAACAGGAUUAGAUACCCCAGUAGUCCCUGUCUCUUAUAC